ACUCCCGUAGCUCAGUUGGUAGAGCAAAUUCCUCAUAAGAAUUCGGUCGUAGGUUCAAGUCCUACCGGGAGUA
rnacentral:tRNA from 1 species